UACGUAGGGUGCAAGCGUUAAUCGGAAUCACUGGGCGUAAAGGGUGCGCAGGCGGAUUUGCAAGACAGAUGUGAAAGCCCUGGGCUUAACCUGGGAACUGCAUUUGUGACUGCAAGUCUAGAGUAUGGCAGAGGGAGGUGGAAUUCCAUGUGUAGCAGUGAAAUGCAUAGAGAUAUGGAGGAACACCGAUGGCGAAGGCAGCCUCCUGGGCCAAUACUGACGCUCAGGCACGAAAGCGUGGGGAGCAAACAGG
rnacentral:rRNA from 1 species